GCUUUUGUGCAGAGGCAGUACCAUAACAAAUGAUGUAGAUUCUAAGAUGUGGUCAUUGCUAGUUGCAAACUAUAUUGAAAAAAACAUAUCAGUUAUUACCACUGGAUCUGUAAACAGA
rnacentral:snRNA from 1 species